rnacentral:ncRNA from 1 species
UUGAGCCGAGUGCGGUGAAAGUCGCACGCUCGGUUCUUAGGGGGGAAAGAAGCCGAAAGUCUUUUCUGGUAAAGUCCUCUUAUGCGUACAGAGUGGAAAUCUGAACCGAUAACUGUCUCGGUGAAAGGCUAACACAAUAAGUCGAACGGAUGGACACUCCAAGGCGGUUUGAGAUGUGACAGGCUAGAUAUAAGGCUUCGACCUACCCGAC